UACAGAGGUGCCAAGCGUUGUUCGGAUUUAUUGGGCGUAAAGGGUGCGUAGGUGGUGAUGCAAGUCGGGUGUGAAAUCCCGGAGCCUAACUCCGGAACUGCAUUCGAAACUGCAUCGCUCGAGGCCUGGAGAGGUGACUGGAAUUCUCGGUGUAGCAGUGAAAUGCGUAGAGAUCGGGAGGAAUACCGGUGGCGAAGGCGGAUCUCUGGGCCUGUCCUGACGCUGAGGCGCGAAAGCUAGGGGAGCGAACAGG
rnacentral:rRNA from 1 species